CGGAGUGUAGCGCAGCCUGGUAGCGCACCUGAAUGGGGUUCAGGGGGUCGAAGGUUCAAAUCCUUUCACUCCGACCA
rnacentral:tRNA from 1 species